AACCCUUCACCCACCCCUGCCCCUUUCUCUUUCUCUCUCUCUGGGCAAACCCUAACGACGGUAGGAACCCAGCCCCAUCCCAUCGUCGAGCUCUUCUCUUCCGAUAGACGAUGUUGUCACCGCCGGCAGAGACAGAUUUGGGUGCCGUCGUCGCUCGUGGAAGGUUUGCUCGCUUCUUGAUCCUCUUCUCCUCAACGUCGAGUGCUUGCUCGGAACUGUUGGCGGCGCCGCUGCGAAGGGCUUCUCCGUUGUCGUCUCUGCUUGAGUUGUUGGUGCCCAUCUCUCUCUUCGAGUCAUCUUUCUUCGAGUCAUCUCUCUCUUCGAGUUCUCUCUAUCCGAGGCUACGAGCUCUUUCUGUCUCUCUCUCUGCGACGUCUUUCUCUGAUCGGCUGUGGAGUAUUUGCCGCGCCGUCACCUUCCUCCCUCGCCGCCGAUAAGCACUACUACCUCAAUUUAUUUUGUUAAUUUUAUUUAUUCUGAUUUUUGAGUUGUUAGCUGUUGAUUUUUCAGAUUCUGCGUUGUUGAUGAACAUUGUUAAUGCUAGAAUUUUUUCAAUUCUGAGUCGUUUAUGUUGGUUUUUCUGAUUGAGUUGUUAAUUUUAGUUGCUGAUUUUGUCUGAUUCUGAAUUGUUGAUGGUGGUACAGUAAACUUGUUUUUCAUCACUUCUCAUCUUUCAGUAGCACAAAUAUAUUUCUUUCAAUAGCACUAAAAAUUGUUAUUUUUCAUUGCUAUCUUCUGCAUUUAAUUUCUGUUGAUUGCUGCUGUCUUUUACUUUUUAGCUUUUAAUUUUGUUAAUUAAAUGAAUUAAUCAAGUUUUUUUUAUACUGUUUUUGUAAGUUUUAAAUUAUGUUUUUGUUCUAUUGUUAAUUUGUAAAUGUAAUUUGAUUUCGUAAUAUGUUUGUUUGAUUUCAUAAUAUUUUUGUAAUUCUGUUUGUUUGUUCAAAUUAUGAUUAUGUUUGUUCAAAAUUUAAAUUAUGAUUAUGUUUGCAAAUUCAAUGGUUAGUGGUUAUUAGUGAUUUAUUUCAAUUGUUUGUUAUUUUUAUUAUUAGGUUAUAGAUUGAAAUUUUAAAUUUUAAAUUUUAUUAGGUUAAAUUUUAUUGAAAUUUAAAUAUUUAAAAUUAUAUAUUAAAUUUUUAAUAAUUUUAUUUAAUAUUUAAUUAAACCGGUUGAACCCCGGUUGAAUCCCAGUCGAACCAUUAAACCUGUGAACUAGUCGUCUCACCGGUUUAUUGACCGAUCCGGUUUUCACAACCUUGGUAUUAACACAUUUUUCUUUUGGUACAAGAUGAAUAAAACAUAUAUUACUUUUAAUAAUGGUAAGUGAACUUGCACUAUUUGUAAGACAAAUAUCUUUAUUAUAUGUCAUUGCUAUUUUUUUGAAGACAAAUAAUAAUAAUAAUAAUAAUAAUAAUAAUAUCAAAAAAUAAAUAAAGGUGUAUGCACAGUAAAAUUGUAUUCUUGAAUGGAACUGUUUGUUUAAGUAACACUGUACAAAAGAAUAGUAUCAUAUACUAAAAAUAUUAUUAUUAUUAUUAUUAUUACUAUUAUUAUUUUAUAAUUUGUGACAUAUUUAAUGAUUUUUUAAAAUUUUUUAAACAUAAAUAUUAAUAUUUUAUUAAACAUUAUUUAUAUACAUCAUACUUGAAACUCAAAUGCCUAAGAAAAAACUUAACAAGUUUUUUAUAUUAUUUUAUGGCAUAAGUACUUAACGAAUUCAAAUAUUAAACUUUUUUAUCAUUGAUGAAAUGACCAAUAUUUUCUUCAAGAUUCUCAAAGAAAUUAUAUACUUCAUAAUUAGUGGUAUAAUUUUCAGCAACAUCCUUUGAAACAAAAUUUGUCUCCUCUCAUUUGUCAUCUUUCUUUAAAGAUUCUUGAUAAAGAUCAACUAAGUGUCUUGAGGUACGACAGGUACGUGACCAAUGACGUUUUCCACCGCAACAGAAACAUUUAUUCUCUAUUGAUUUAUUUUACUCAUUAUUUUUUUCUUUAUCCCACUUCUAGUGAGAUCAUUUCUUGUGAAAAUAAUUUUUCUUCCUCCCAUCAUUUUUCUUCUUACCAAAGUCUUAUCAUUUACCUCUUAUGGGGUUAUAAUUUGCCGCAUUUAUUUCAGGAAAUAGGCCGGCGCCAACUGUGCGCGCAUCAUGAUUUAUUAAAAGUAAUUCAUUAUUUCGUUUAGCAACAAGAGCACAAAAAUUAUAUCUGAAUAUUUUUUAAAUUCUUUUUCUCAAUACUGCAGCUGCCUGUUGCAAGAGCACUUUCGAGGCACAGAAAGUUAAGAAAGUUUUUUCUAACAUGUCAUUAUCAUAUCUUUUUUCCACAUAAUUUCGUUCAUGAGAUAAUUCGGAACAUGGCUGAAUCAUAUUCAUUUAUGAAUUUAAAAUUCUGUAGACACAAAUGCGUUCAUUUAUAUCAAGCUUGAGGAAGUAUCACUGACAUUUGAUAAUUAUACUUUUCUUCAAGAUUCUUCCAAAGAUCUGUAGAAUCUUUUAAUGUGAGAUACUCAUCUUUCAGACUUUCAUCAAGAUGACGACGAAGGAAGAUCAUGACUUUAACUUUAUCUUUUGGAAAUUUUUUAUUAUCAUAUUUAAUGAUAUCUCCAAAAUCUGUUGAAUCAAAAUGGAUUUAACAUCAAAUAUUCAUGAUAAGUAGUUAUCUCCAAAUAUAUUAUGACCAUUAAGUUCAAGAUGAAAGAGUUUUGAUAUAUGUAAAUUUAUUACAUGUGUCUUCCUAAAUUUUUAUCAAAGCAUUGUGCUGAUAACGUAUACCCCAUACAAAUAUUCAUUGGAUCAUUUAGAUAUCUUUAGUCCUUUAGGGACUUUUAUAUAGAUAUCACGAUCUAAUGAUCCGUAUAAAUAGGUUGUUACCACAUCCAUUAGAUGUAUAUGUAGUUUAUAGUAUGCGGAUAAAUUGAUCAAAUAAUACAAUAUUAUUACAUCUACUACAGGAGAAUAUGUUUCUUCAUAAUCUAUACCGGGCCUUUGUGAAAAACUUUGCACCACAAGUCGAGUUUUGUAGCGUACAACUUCAUUCUUCUCAUUUUGUUUUAUCACAAAUACUCAUUUGUAUCCAAUAGGUUUUACAUCUUCUGGUGUACGGACUAUAGGUCAAAAGACUUCACGUUUUGCAAUAUUUUCAGGUACCUGAACGUCUUCUGGCGUCAAAACUAUAUCAAAGUUUUGAACAACUGCAGUGGCCAUUUGUCCGACUGGAAGAUCAAUUCAAAUUGGAGCAUUUCAGCUGGUAUAUAGGAUUUAGUUAUCCUUUUCAUAUCAGAAAAUGUAUCAGGCAAUUCAUUUAUUAUUAUUUACAAAUGUAUAAUCUUUUGAACUUCUAGUUCACAUUGUCUUAAUCGAGGAUCUAAAUGCAUCAAGGAUGAUGCAUUCCAAUUAAGUUCCUUUUCAUAAAGCUUAUUCUCUCCCCCUAAUUUUGAAAAUUUUUUAUAAUCAAAAUGAUAAUCCGCAACUCGAGCUUUAAAAACAUCUUCAGUUUGUAUCUCAAGAUACCUCACUAUAGAGGGAGAAUCAUAUCCAACAUAUAUCGCUAAUUUUUUUUGGGUCCCAUUUUGGUGCGAAAAGGUGGUGCAAUAGAAACAUAAGUAAUUAUAGGCGUUUAAUAAGUGAUUAUACUAACCCAUUUUGUGUGUGAACAUUAGCUACUGGAUGUUCAAUGCUUAUUCCAUUAGCCAAACAAUAAGCAUAAAUGGUUUGGAAAGUAAAUUCACCAGCAUUAUCAAGAUGAAUUGCUUUGAUUGAAUUUUUUGGAAACUGUGCUUUUAAUCGAAUCAUUUGAGCAAGUAAUCUCGUAAAUACCAUGUUGUAAAAAGACA